UACGGAGGGUGCAAGCGUUGUUCGGAAUCACUGGGCGUAAAGGGCGCGUAGGCGGUCCCACAAGUCCGAUGUGAAAGCCCGGGGCUCAACCCCGGAAGUGCAUUGGAAACUGUGGGACUUGAGUUCGGGAGAGGAAGGCAGAAUUCCCGGUGUAGGGUUGAAAUCCGUAGAUAUCGGGAGGAAAACCGGUGGCGAAGGCGGCCUUCUGGAACGAAACUGACGCUGAGGCGCGAAAGCGUGGGGAGCAAACAGG
rnacentral:rRNA from 1 species